rnacentral:tRNA from 1 species
GAUGAUAUAGUUUAAUGGUAGAGUACUUGCCUCAUAUGCAUGAUGCCCUGGAUUUAUCAAUCCCCAAUAUCACCA